AACAAGUGGCUAAAAAGCUACAAGAUGUAAAGACUUUAAUCGCCGAGGGAGUUUUUGAGGCGGUGGCCACUGAGGUGGUGCCCGAGAGAGCUCCGGAACCUGUAGCAGAUAAAAGACCCACUGAGCCAACAAUAGUAGGCUUGCAAUCACAGCUUGAACAAGUUUGGAGAUGUCUUGUAGAAGAAUCAGUGGGAAUCAUUGGCCUAUAUGGUAUGGGCGGUGUUGGUAAAACCACACUAUUGACCCAUAUCAACAAUAAAUUUCUUGAGAGUCCCACAAACUUUGAUUGUGUGAUUUGGGUCGUAGUUUCAAAAGACCUGCGACUUGAAAAAAUUCAAGAAGAUAUUGGGAAGAAGAUAGGUCUCUCUGAUGAUUCAUGGAAGAAUAAAAGUUUUGAAGAGAAAGCUGUGGACAUCCUGCGGAGAUUAGGAGAGAAGAGAUUUGUAUUGUUGUUAGAUGAUUUAUGGGAGCGGGUUGAUUUAACAGAAGUGGGCGUUCCACUUCCCAGCGCACAAAAUACUACCUCAAAAGUCGUAUUCACAACCCGUUCCAUUGGUGUUUGUGGCAGCAUGAGAGCUAGGCCGGUUAAAGUGGCAUGCCUAUCAGAAAAGCAAGCUUGGGAAUUGUUCCGCGAAAAUGUUGGGGAAGAAACUCUUGAGAGUGAUCAUGAGAUCGUUGAGCUAGCCCAAACUGUGGCCAAAGAGUGUGGUGGUUUGCCACUCGCACUUAUUACUAUUGGUCGAGCUAUGGCCUACAGAAAGAAAGCGGAGCAGUGGAGACGUGCAAUUGAAGAGUUAAGAAGAUCAGCUUCAGAGUUUGCAGGUUUGGGAAAAGAGGUGUAUCCUCUUUUAAAGUUUAGCUAUGAUAGUUUGCAGAAUGAUACAAUUAGAUCUUGUUUCUUGUAUUGUUGUUUAUAUCCUGAAGAUUAUGGCAUUCUUAAAUGGGACUUGAUUGAUUGUUGGAUUGGCGAGGGAUUUUUUGGGGAAUCUGACAGGUCUGGUGCAGAAAACCAAGGCUAUGACAUUUUGGACACUCUUGUUCGUGCACGUUUAUUAGAAGAGGUGGAAGAUGAUAAAGUAAAAAUGCAUGACGUUAUUCGUGAUAUGGCUCUAUGGAUAGCUUGUGAAAUUGAGAAGGAGAAGAGAAACUUUUUGGUUUGUGCAGGUGCUGGAUUAAAAGAGGCACCGGAUGUUAAAGGAUGGGAAAAUGUGAGAAGAUUGUCAUUGAUGCAAAACCAAAUUAAAACUCUGUCAGAGGUUCCCACAUGCCCUCAUCUCCAUACUUUAUUUCUUGCCUCUAAUAUGGAGUUGGAGAUGAUCGCGGAUGGCUUCUUCCAAUUUAUGCCUUCUCUCAAAGUUUUGAAGAUGUCACGCUGCUGGAAUUUUCAAUUACCUGUUGGGAUGUCAGAUUUGGGUUCGUCACUAGAACUUCUUGAUAUUUCACGUACCAAAAUAAGAGAGUUACCAGAAGAGUUAAAGUUGUUGGUAAAUCUGAAAUGUUUGAAUUUGGGGUGGACAAGGGAGUUAAAUAAAAUUCCACGGCAACUAAUAUCAAAUUCUUCAAGGUUACGUGUGUUGAGAAUGUUCGCUACUGGCUAUGGGGGUCUUCAUGGAGCAUCAGAAGAUAGCGUUUUUUUUGGCGGGGGUGAAGUUUUGAUACAGGAAUUGCUCGGUUUGAAAUAUUUAGAGGUAUUGGAGUUGACCUUGGGAAGUUAUCAUGCUCUCCAAAUUGUUUUGAGCUCAAAUAAGUUGAAAAGUUGUAUUCGAUCUCUUUUCCUCCAGUUGUUCAGAGAUACAACGUCGAUUAUUGAUGCUACGGCUUUCGCAGAUCUAAACCACCUCAAUGAAUUACAUAUUUAUAUAGGUAUUGAGUUGGAAGAGUUGAAGAUUGAUUAUACAGAGAUAGUACGAAAAAGGCGGGAACCUUUUGUUUUCCGCAGCCUUCACCUUGUUACUAUACAUAGCUGCCCUAAAUUGAAAUAUGUGACAUUCCUCGUUUUUGCUCCAAACCUCAAGUCUCUUGAGCUAUGGAAUUGCCAUGCUAUGGAAGAAAUAAUCAGCGUCGGAAAAUUUGCUGAGACUCCUGAGAUGAUGGGACAUAUAAGCCCUUUUGAAAAUCUCCAAAGGCUUAAUUUAGAAGAUUUGCCAAAUUUGGAGAGCAUCUACUGGAAGCCAUUGCCUUUUACUCGUCUGAAAGAAAUGGCGGUACUUGGGUGCGAUCAGCUUGAAAAGCUUCCGGUCGAUUCCAAUAGUGCAAAAGAGCGUAAAUUUGUAAUUCGUGGAGAAGAAGACUGGUGGAACCGACUUCAAUGGGAGGAUGAAUCCACUCAAAUUGCUUUUCGUUCCUGUUUCCAACCUGAUUCCUGAGCGGUGGUCGCAAAAUUUGAUUUCUGGUGAGUGCGUUUGUCUUUUAAAAGAAGAAUUUAAAAGAAAUUAUUCUUGUCGUUUGUUUUCUUCUGUGUUUUUAUUUCAGUUUCUUUCUCUCUCUCUCUCUCUCUCUUUUUGGUCUUCUGCAAAUCACAAUUAAAUGUUGAAUUAAUGGAAUUAAUGCUUCAUAAAUUUGCCGGCACUGCCAUUACUGUUUUUUGGGGGGGUCGAAUUGAUGCUCUGGUUUUUUACUUUUUGUUGUCAAAUUUUGCCCUGUUCUAUCUUCUUAGCGAUUUAAUUUCCUGUCAAAAGACGAGCGAGAAGAACAUAUAUAUGACUUAAACCAAUUGAUACUUUAUUUAUGUGCAUUGUAUGUAAUAAAUAUUAAGUAUACUUUAUUUUGCCCUGUUCUCUGUUUUUAUUUCAGUCUCUCUCUCUCUCUCUUUCCUGUCUUCUGCAAGUCAUAAUUAAAUGGUGAAUUAUAUGGAAUUAAUGCUUUACAAAUCUGCCUGCACUGGCUUUUUUUUUUUUUUUUUUGUGGGGUCGAAUUGAUGCUCUGGUUUUUUUUUGUUGUCAAAAUUUUCUCUGUUUUUUCAAAUUGAUGCUUUAUUUAUAUCUUCUUCGUGAAAAGUGAUUUAAUUUCCUGCCAAAAGACGAACGAGAAGAACAUUAGAGUCAAACUAAUGCUCACAUAAAUUUCCCGUCAGAAUAUAUAAUUAGACUGGAAUAGUAGCACUCUUUACAGAAAAUGACGUGAAAGUUAAUUUAGAAAGAUAUAUUCUUGACGUGAAAGUUAAUAGUAUACAUGCCAUCACCAUUACCAAGAAUCAAGCAUGGAAUUGGAAGUCAUUCUAUAGAGUGCAGAACAUGACUCUAUGCGGUAGUCAAUUUGACACACGACGAACACCAUAUGCUGCAUAACAUACAAAUUAAUUUCCCAUAUGUGAUGCAAUUUGCUCCUCAACAUAUGCGCAAUUCUUUCCAUUCCGGCCGUUGAUUGAACCCUUUGGCAACAAGACGAGCUUUAAACUUGUCAACAGAACCGUUGGAAUGUCUUUUAAUACAAAAAUCCUUUUGCAGCCAACAAUAUUGGAAGGGAUGGGAGGUGGAACAAGCUUCCAUGUCCCGUUACGAACAAGAGCAUCAUACUCUUCUGACAUAGCUUGACGCCAGUGAGGAUUUUUGAUAGCUUGUGUCACAGUUGUAGGUUCACAAUCAGAAAAAGGGCUAAAAUGAGCACGGAGGUUAAGUUUUUGUAACGGCUUGUGAAUCUUAUUUUUAGCUCGGGUAGUCAUAUCAUGAUGAUUUGUGGGGCAAUGAUCUAGUGGAAGUUUGGGAAGAUGAUUGAACAGGAAGUGAAGAAGUGCUUUGUGUAGAGGUAGAAGUAGGUUGGGAGGAUUGCUGCGGCGAUGUUACCGGUAGAAAAGAAGGAGCAGUACACGGUGCAACUCCAGAGGGCCCACAGUAGAUGGAGUAGGUGCCGACGAUGGAGUACUAGGAAAUGAAACAGUAAGAAUUGGUGGAACACUUGCGUAAUUAGGAGUGGUUGAUGAGCUUGUAAUGAUUUGUAUGGAAAAACAAACUCUACAAAUUUAACGUGACGUGAAAAAAAAAUUUGAAAGGUGGAUGGGUCAAAACAUAAAUAAGCACUUUGAGAUAAAGGAAUAUCCUAGAAAAACACAAGGCUUAGAGGGUGGUUCGAGUUUAUGUGAUGAAACACAAACAUUCAAAAAUUUUUAAGUUUAUAUUAAUUAGGAGUGGUACCAAAAAUUAAUUAGCUAUGGGGUUGUUGGAUGUGUUUUGGAUAUUUACAGUUAAGUUUGAGUAUCUCAACUUAAAAUUUGUAGUUUUCACUUGAAAAAAUUCAGUUAAAUUUUGCAAUGCAGACUGAUUGAUUUAUCAGUUUAACGUGUGCCAGGAAUGAAGAACUGGAAUAUCACCGUCAAGCAAGCACCCUGUGGAGCAAUACCAAAGAAUGCACAAUCCGGCUUUGCUAGGUGACACUGGAGGCUUUUUGAAAAGUGCUUCACGCUCACUUGCACAGAUUGAGCAUCCCCUCUGGAUAUUGCCCUCUCUGAUCGAGUCUGAGCACUCAAAUUUCGGUCCUCAGAUGGAGCUACAGCUUUCUCUCCAAUAACCAACAAUUUUCUAAACUCAGCACCUAGUGUGAUCAGAGUUGUUGAUAUUUGUAAAUGGAGAUCCCCAUAUUUGUAAAUGGAGACAUUUAACAAAUCACCAACAUGCUUCAUCCGGUGUACAAAAUUCUGCAGCUGAUUCAAAUCCGGAACCUGAACCAGAGUCGGAGGUAUAUCUUGAGCCAUAUCUAAAGCAGUUUGAAGUUCAAGACCUUGAGCCCUUGACAAUGGUUUUGAAAUUGGAACAUCUUGGAUUACUGCAGACUUGUACCCCUUGGUUUCAAAGGUAAGGAAAGGCAUUGCUUGAGUACAAUUUGGAGGCAGCUUCUUCACCAAUUUUAUUUGGAGGCGAUUGGCAGCGGAUCCAGCUGCACCAAUUUCAGAGCAACUACUGACACUACUUCGAACAGCACACUGAAGAAGUGAUAUGUCUACAGCAAAGGCAAUGCAGUCCUCAUUUUGGCUUGAGAUGCGGUAAUCAUCGAAGAGAGUUUCCUUGUGAAACUGGGCAACACAUUGAAUCCCUUUGGCACUGAGAAGGUUGUGGAGGAAGUAAGCUUUCUCUCUAGUAAGGAAGAGGUGGCAUACAUUCCCCAUUUUGUCUAGGGCAGGUAGGAAUCUUUUUUCUAAGAGAUUUACUUCAUUCUCUGUGAGAAAUGCUUUGAACUUCAUCCCUCUGUCUCUAUCCUCACUUAUCAGUAAAAUAGUUGAAAGCGCUACAAGGAGAGAAAAGAAGAGUAUUAAGAUAUAUAUAGACAAGAAAAACAUUAGAUGUCGAUCUUACAAGCUAAUACUUCAAACAGUAUCCUAGAAAGCUAAAAACUGCAAAAUGGCUUGAAAUUUGAAAAGAACACAUGCUUUUCCUCCAUAACUUGAGAAAAUGUUUAAUAUAGUGCACCUUACAGAAACAUUUAAGCAAUUAGAACUUUGCACAAAAACAUUCAAGAAGACUAAACAAAUCAGAUGCAGUGUAUUUCUCCAAGCACAAAUGGCAUUGCAUUUCUUCCUCAACUGUAAUAUUUAUUGAUGAAAAUCAGUACAGGUCCCUCAUUUGUUAUGGAAAGCUUUCUUGUAGUCUGACCGGUUAAUUCACGGGUCUAUAAUCAUCUUGCAAAGUUACAGGCAUUUCUUUCGAUUUAAAGUCUUUGCAUCACCACCUCAUCACACACCAAGCCAAUAUUCCGUCUACCUCUACAACAAAAAGUUUUAAGUAAACGAUCCUAAUGCAUGCAGCCAAAUAAAAUGCAGUAAGAAUAUUCAACUUAAAACUCUGAAAGCCAUCUUGGUGAAUUGCCUCCUUAGGGGAAGUUCCAUGAUUUACUAUAGUUGACAGAACUCAGCAAAAGCUUCCAUACAACAGAUUUUGAAAAUGAUGAUGCCAAUAGAUACUCAUUCAAUCCAUUGAAAAUCCAAAGGUUCAUUGUUAGAUCACGAGCAAGAAACAAAAUGGAGACACGCAAUAUGAAUAUGGAGAAAAUUUGAACUCAAAUGAAAUGAGGGCACGAAAGCAAACACAUGGCAUGCGCAAACAAACCAAGCCUCAAUCAAAAACUAAUUAACCAUUAAGAAAAAAAAACUGGUCAGAGAAUGAACUCCAAAUUCGGGAGUGAAGCAAGAAGCUUUCAUUAUUUCAGAAGCUCCUGUACAAAUUAAUAAGUUAUGCUCUUUGGAAACAAACCUAAAUUCCAAGAGAAACAGAACUCAAAAAAUUUGCAAUUAUACGCAAAGGAAGUGAAGCACAGCAUUCUAUCACACGUACGAAUUGUACAACAAGAGAUCGACACAUCGAAUCAGAAGAACUCAAUUCAAAUUUGUCUCAAAAAUCAAAAUUAGAAGAUUUCACAUUUCGAGAGGAACAAGCGACAGGUCAGAUGCAAAAUUUUCAGCCACAACAUGGCACAAUUAACGGUUUAUUUCCAUGGAUUUAGAGAGAUCGCGCGCCAAAAUGGAAGAGGGAAAGCGAAAGUGCGGGUUUUAAUAGGGUAUUGGAUUAGCAAAUUUUAUUAGUUUGCGAGGGUAAAAUAGGAAAGAUAUAUCACUAUUAAGCUUUUUUUUUAAUAAAAAAAAGAAUAAUAAAGAAUAUUUUAUUGUCAUUUGCAGCAUUUAAUUUUUUUUUUAAAUGCUAUUAGAAAAAUACGACAAUAAAGAAAUGCUCUUUUUUUUUUUUUUUUUUCUGGAAGGUAAAAUCAAUUAUUUAGCUCCUUAUAUGUAAUCAAACUCCAUUUCUUACUUUAAGUCAUAUCCAACGGACCAACAAAGUAAUUUUUUUUUUUUCAUUCAUUUUUGCAGAAAAUUAAUAACUUAAAAAUAUUGAAAGCUAUUCUAAAAUUUUUUAUUAUCAACCUCAUAGUUUAAUUUUUUUGGGGAAGAAUUGAAUUUUUUUUUUUAAUUUCCAAGAAUUUCAUUCUCUAGUUUUUCCAUUAAUAUUAUUUAUCUUGAUACCCAUCUUAAUUAAAAUCUGUAGUUUUAUUCAAGAGUCAUGCUAUUCAUUCACUCACAGGCAAAAGGCUUUCCGCAGCAAUAUUAUUAUUUAAAUUACAACAAAGGGGAAAUCAAAUACGUCAUACAGAAGCAUAAAGCUGAAUCUACAAAAUCUAGAGCUCUCAACUACAUAAAUUACACUUGAUGACCCUCUACAAGAUGAAGCUUGUUCAAUAUCUCAUCCAAAGCUUGUAAAGUAACCCUGUAACGAUCUUGAGAUUGCCUGCCUUCCUCGACGACCUGCACGAUGCGUUUGUACAAAUCAUCAUACCUGUGCACCGGAUUUUUAAUAUCAAUGGCACUGCAGCUGUGAUCAAGAACAUAAGAGCGUUUAACGUCUUUUCUCCAUCGAGAAAGAAUGUACUGAGAUGGGAUCUCCUCCAUGCCACUCUGGUUUAAAACACAAAGAAUGUGUCUGCAUAAAUAUCCUCUGAAAUUGAACAACCCACAAACACAAAGCACCUCCAAGUCAGAGGCAUUGUACAAAACAUCGAAAGCCCUUGAAUCUUUCUCGUUGCUACCAACCUCAAAUUCUUCUUUCACUAUGUAUGUUAUAGGUCCAUCAGCACUGACAUGUUUUGUGCUAUAGCAAGAGUACAUAGCCUCCACCUCCGUCUGAAACUUCCUUAACAUUUCAUUUGUGUACAGUUGUGAGAGUUGAAAUUCAUAGUAACAUCUUGGUUUCUGGAUACAACUUGAAUUUCUUGGAUCCAUAUCUGCCAAGGCUUCCAGUUGAUAAUUCGCCUGCAGUGCUUGAUCAUACUUGUCUAAGAAUUCUUUCAAAGGAGUAUUCUUAUGAAGAUAUCCUUCAAAGUAUGAAGUAGAAACCUCAUUCUGCAGGAACGAAAACACUCCUGAUAAAAAAGCUUCCUUCAAAUAAAUAGGAGCCCACCUUUUACGAUCUUCAUAUAACGUUUGAAUCCAUCCGUGAUCCUUUAUUCCAUGACGUUGAAUCAUGUCUUCCCAAGCUGCUUCAAAUUUCUCAGGCCAGAGAGAGUGAUAAAUUGCUCUAUGUAAUGCAGCUUUAAUAGCUUCAUAUUCAAACAAUCCUUGGAGUUUCUCUGGAAUUUUUUGCAUGAUGCAUGACAAUGAAAAGCAAUGAUAAGCUCUUGGGAAAACAUCGCCAGCAGCAAUUUGCAAGAUUCUACAUUGGUCAGUGAUGAUUGUUUGUGGAGAGCGCCCUAACAUACAUGUAAGCCACGCCCUAAACAACCAUGUCUAUGAUUCUAUGGUCUCACUGGCAAGUAAACCACAACCCAACAACACUGAUUGUCCAUGAUGAUUCACCCCAAUGAAUGAAACCAGUGGUACAUCAUAUCUUUCAGUCAAGCACGUAGUAUCAAUUAAGACUACAUCACCAAAGUACCUAUAUGCAACUCUUGACCUGAUAUCAGUCCAGAACAGGUUUCUCAAGCAUCCCUUUUCAUUUAGUCCACUACAUUAAAAAAGUUUGGAUCUGUCAACUGCAAACGACAAAAGAAACUCUGGAUAGCUUGUGCAUCUCCUGGUUUAAGCUUCAAUUGAUUUGAGCUAUUAACAUUAUUUCCAAAUACUCCAUUAACAUCUACAUUACCAUUUCCCUCGGUAUCAAUGAUAAGAGUUCGAAACAGUUUAAUUUUUUGAACUUCUUCAGCACUAUCUAAAUGCAAUGUUCUUUUGGUUCCAAUACCUAUGUGCUUAUGUGACUUGUAAAACUUUCCACUUCUUGGGCUUAACAAGUGGUUAUGCUCAAGCUCGACUUCAAUGAUUCUCCACCUUUUGGUUUCCAUCAACCUAAACUUUAUCAUUGCUGGACAGCCAGUUCUUGUUUCUGGUCUUGGGCGGUUUGCCUCGCUUUUCUUCUUGAAGCCUGCACUACUACAGCUCAGCUUUCCUCUAUACUUUACUCUUUUGGUACCAUGUAUUGCUAACUCUAACACCAAAACCAUGUUCCUUGGCAUAGCAAUUGUAAAAGUAAAAUACAUCAUCAUACAUCUCAAACUCCAUUCCAACAGCAGGAGGCAAGGGAUUUUGGAUUAUCCCAGUUUGUCCAACAUAUUCAGUCAUCGCACAAUCUCCUACGACCUCAAAAUCAUCAGUGUCAUCAUCACCUACUGGUUCGGUGUUGAGAGAAACUUCAUCCAUCUACAAUGGAUGUUCAAUGAAGUGAGCUUUAAGGAGAAAAAGCAAAAUCAGUUCAAGGAAUGAUAAUAUAAUCAUAUAGUUACUUUCACAAAGCUUCAUAUUUCAUCACUGCUUUACCAACAUGCAACUGCCAGAGAACAAACAGACAUGUCAUAGACGCUUGAAUUAAGUAUUUGUACAAAUGAGCACACAUCAUGUGGGACAAAAUUUCAGUCACUAAACCCAAUACCACUUUUUACAUCAUACCAAGGAACAGAUUAAACCCGACACCUUCUUUUAAACCAUACCAAGGAACAGAUUAAAUCAUCAAUGAAAAAUUAAUCACAUAAUAACUUAACCAGACAAAUGAAGAGCCUGAAACAGCACAAAACUUGAAUAUGAUUAUGAUAAUUGUUGAGUCCUUGUAUCUACAGCUUUCCUUCAAUGAUAAGACAAUGAACAUAAACGAGAUGCAAAAAAUUUAUUUUAAGCUGACAGCCCAUGAUAUAAAUCAAACAAAAUCAACUCCUUUUUUUACACAUCACAUCUCAUAUUCAUUUACAUUGAAACACAAAAAGGAAGCAGGAGUGGGAAAAAAACAACAGCAGAGGAACUUAUUUCCAUAAGGUUUACGAAAUAAGGAAUCUAUUAAAACCCAAAACUUGAGGUCACCACUAAGAAUUUCGUUCUCAUUAUUUUUUUCUUCAUUUUUCACCAAUGAUGAACUUAAAAUACAAUCAUAAAUGAUAAAACCCCAUCUCCAUCUUUUUGAACUAGAGCUAAAGCAAAGCAUUUUAAGAUGUUUCAUCAUUUUUUUUAAAAAAAAAAACCUCAAUAGUACAAUGUUUUUCAAUGUUAAAUGCACAAUUCAAUCUUCUCCUAAUUUACUCUAAUAAUCUCUUAAUUAAGGAAGAUUAAGCUUCAGUUGUAAGCUAAAACAAAUUUCUUAAAUCAAGCCCCAAUGCUUUAUGCUAUUCAACAAGGGCUCAUAAAUGAUAAAACUACUUCUACAAAGAUACCCAUUUUCUAAAUUAAUUUCACAAACUGAAAUCAAACUCCUGAAACGUAACGAGCAUUAAUAUAAUCAAACCCGAACAAGAAUUGAAAAACGACACAUAAACUCGUUUACACAUUUUGACAGACACUUUGCAAUCAAUGAGCAAAAAAUUAAUGGAGAAGAUAAAAUUCAAACGAAACAUGCCUUACAUUGAUAAAUUAGAAGGGCAAAAGAAAUUUUAGUAAGAUAUGGGAUCAGGGUCUUGCCACGGUGAUGUUAUUUGUGAUGUUCGAGCGACUCAGCAGCCUUCGAGGUUGAAAAUUUGAUUGACCAAAAGCUUCCCGUUCGUUGAUUCUCUAAUAGCAGAAACGAGACUGGCAGUAUACACAACAAGUUCGCUGAUUUUAAAUUCCGUUGUUUGAGAUGGAAAUUUUUUUUGAAAAAAUUAAUGUGUUCGAUGAAUAUCAAAAUCUAAAAAACUUUUUGUUUUUCAUUUUUUUGGAAAAAGCCAUUGAGAUCCUUACUAUUUUUUCUUAUAUCAUCUUGCUUAAUAAUUUGCAAAGUCUAUCGCAUAGCACCCAUGCAUGAUGUAUGCUGCGUUGUAAUUUACAAAAUUGCACAUGAAUAAAUCCAGCUAAAAUUUGUUAAAAGAAAAUAAUAAUAACAUGUUAAAACUUAAAAAUUUGAUUAUUCGAAGAAAUUUUAAUUUAGUUAAGUAGGUGACAUGAUAAUAAAUAGAUACGUAUAAUGUCCGAGAUUUUUAUAAGAUUAAUAAAUAUGAUAAAAUUAAACAUGCAAAUAUACACACUAAUUUAGAUGUGUGAAUAACAAAUAUGGAACGACACAUGCAAAGUCAUCUGUAUAAUUGAAACGCCAUGCACUAGUAGUAGGUAAGAGAAACCAAGGUUGAAGUUGCUCCAAUGGUUACUGUUCAUUUAUUUUUAUUUAUGAUUUUUAUGUAAAAUGUAAGAAAUAUGUAGAAAUGUUGCCAGCAAUGAUUUUGGAACUUUGCAUAAAAUUUUUAUCAUUAUUGUUUUUGGUAUUAAGAAAUCCGAGGCGGUGAUUAGACGUAUGUUGCAACAAUUAAGAAAUUUCUUAUUGGAGAUAAUUUGGUAGGUUGCAGCAAUUAGAGAAUAAUUUUCCUGCCGGUUAAUCAAUCAAUAAUAAAUUUCAAAUUGCAGAAAAUAAAAUAAUACUGUCGCACUUAGAAUCAUAUUUUCUAUCUCUUUCAAUUGUGGCAAUCAUUUGUAACAAAUAAAUCAAUUUGAUGCACAUCAUUUCCCCAAUUCAAAGUUCAAGUCACUGCUCAAUUGCAGAGUAGUUAGUAGACAUGCAUGCAUGUUUAAUUAAGUACUGCAUUGUAGUAUCGAAAAUCAUAACAUCUCACCAAGCCCAGAAACUAUGGGAAACAUGAUCUCACUCUCAGUGUCACUUGAUUCCAUUUUCUGUUCUUGCCUUGAUUUCGAUGUUGGGAAUGUGACGUCUGAGUCUAAGGUUGAAGAUAAUCUCGAUGCCUUGCGGACUGCAAUGGAAAAAUAAGCGGAAACGAGAAAUGAUGUGAUAAUAUUUACAAAAGAAUGGAUCGAGUGCAGGGCUGGCUUUCAAGGGUAAAAGCUGUGGAAAAUAAAGCUGAUGAUUUGAUGAGACACAGCUCUCAAGAGAUUGAGAAGUUAUGCCUUGGAGGCUUCUGUUCCAAGAACUGCAAAUGAAGCCACAGCCGUGGGAUAGAAGCUGCUACAAUGCUACGAGUUGUGGAGACUUUAAUGGGUGAAGGAUCAUUUGAAUUGGUGGCUGAGAGGGUGCCAGAAGAUGCAGCAGAGGAGAUAAAUUGUGAGUCAACAAUAAUGGGCAUGGUGUCGACUUUUGAGAAAGCCUGGAGAUGCCUUGAAGAAGAAUAAGUUGGAAUUAUUGGCCUAUAUGUCAAUGGGAGAGUUGGAAAUAUUUACUCAAAUCAACAAGAAGUUCCUUGAUAGUCCAAAUAAUUUUGAUGUUGCAAUCUGGGUAGUGGUCUGCCAAGAUUUGCAACCCCAGAAGUUUCGGGAAAAGAUUGGGAAAAAGAAAGGCUUGUUCGAUGAGUCAUGGAAGAACUGAAGUUUUGAAGAGAAAGCACUCGAUAUAUUCAAGAAUUUAAGCAAGAUGAAGUUUGUAUUACUGCUGGAUGAUAUAUGGGAGCAGGUUGAUUUAAUUAAAAUUGGUGUCCCUCUUCCAAGCACAAAAAUUACAUUCAAGAUAGUCUUCACAGCUCCUUCUAUUACAUUUGUGGCCUCAUGGAAGCUCACGACAAGAUUAAAGUGGAGUGUUUAAAUGACGAAGAAGCAUGGGAAUUAUUCUGCAAGAAGGUUGGAGAAGAUGUGGCGACUCUGUCCAAGUGCUAAGGAGCUCAGCCUCAGAAUUUCUAGGUACGGAAAAAUAAGUAUAUCCUCUUUUGAAAUUCAGUUAUGAUAAUUUACCUAGUGAUAAAAUUAGAUCGAGUCUGUUAUACUGUAGUUUGUUUCCAGAAGACUUUCCAAUUAGCAAAAUGGAAUUGAUACUGAGAUAUGAAAUCAAGGAUACUACAUUAUUGGUGUUCUUGUUCCUUUAUGUUUAUUGGAAGAAGAGGCUCCACUAUAUGUAAAAGUGCAUGAUGUGAUACGCGAUAUGCUUCUGUGGAUCGCAUGUGAAUUUUUUUUUUUUUUUUUGAUAGGGAUAGUAUGUGAAGUUGAGAAGGAGAAAGAGAAUUUUUUGGUUCGUGCAGGUGCAAGGAUUAACUGAAGUACCAGACAUUUGGAAAUGGGAAGGGUUGAGAAGGGUGUCUUUGAUGAGCAACAAAACUGAGAAGUUAUCAGAAAUUCCUUCAGAUCCCCAUCUACUGACUUUGUUGCUUCAACGUAAUUAUUUAGAGAUGAUCAAUAAUGACUUCUUCCAAUCUAUGCAUUCCCUUAGAGUUUUGAACUUAUCAUGUAAUCGUUCUCUAACUGAUAAUUUCAAAGUUAGUUUCCCUACAACAUCUUAAUUUAUCAAUGACUAACAUACGAGAGUUGCCGAUUGAGUUAAAGUUUGUAGUGAAUCUUAAGUUUUUGAAUGUGGAGUAUGCACGGUUUCUUCAUUCAAUUCCAGGGCAAGUGAUAUCCAGUUUUACGAUGUUACAAGUUUUGAAGAUGUUUGGUUGUGGCAGGUCAUCUUCUGAUCGUGAGCCACACCAGAAGAUAGCGUUUUAUUUGGAGGCAGUAAACUUUUGAUUGCGGAGUUGUUUGGUUUGAGAGACAUUUAGAUUUGUUGACCAUCAUCCUAAGAAGCUCCCAUGCUCUGAAAGAUUUUUGAGCUCCAACAAACUUCAAAGUUGUACUCAAUCUCUCUAUCCUAAAUGCUUUGAUUCGAAGUCAGUUGAUGUUUUUGGCCUGGCUGAUCUGAAGCAUCUCAAUAGGCUAUAGAUAUUGCGAGUUGUAAGCUUUUGGAAGAAGUGAAGAUUGACUUUGUUGGGAAAGCACAAUGAACCCAUGGUUUUCACAGCCUUAUGUCACAGAAGUUGUGUAAAUACUGCACGGGUUGCUGCCAUCCCAUGACAUUGAGCCAUGUUGAAAUAUCAUUUUGCUGUAAACUGAGGGAUCUGACAUAGCUUGCUUUUGCUCCAGGCCUUCUUGUUGUUUCCAGAAAACAUUGCCAUGAUAUAGAAGAAAUACUCGGUGUUGGAAAAUUAGGUAAAGAGAUGAUGUCAAACCUGGAACCUCCUACAAAACUCCAAGGUUACGUUUGUCAUGUGGGAUUGGAUUGAACUAAAUUAUUAAGAUUGAAUUAAAUUGAAUUAUAUUUAUAUUCUUAUGUUUAGUACCGGAUUGAACUAUAUUAGAUUAUAUUUAAAUAAUAUUAAAUAGUAUUUAAGUUGGUAUUUUAAUAUAAAUAUCAAUUAUCCAUGAAAUUUUAUAAUCAUAAUUAAAAUAAAUUUAAAAAGUAAUUACUAGGAAAAUUAAAUAUAUUGCAAAAAGUUAUUGGGUAGUCAUAAUAUAAUAAGCAAAUAAAAUUAAAUAAAACAAAUUAAAUAUUUAAUUAAUUUUUAUCAAAUAUUUAAAAAUAUUAUAUAAAAUCAAUUAAUUAAUGGUUUUAUUAAUUUUCAUGAUUAUUUUUAAUAUUACAUUAGUGAUUAUUAAAUUUAAUACAAUCAAAUAAUGCAAUAAAUAAUUAAACGUUUAAUUUUAUCGAUUAAUUAUUAAAUAUACAAGUAAUAAAAAUUUAAUCUCAGGAGUUGGUAGAAGCAAAAGUACUAAUUUAAUUACAUCAUAGAUAAUAAAUAAAAAUAAAUUCUAAGUAAAUCAUAAUAAAAAAAUUAAUUAAUUGAUUCAAUCAAUCAAUAUUAGGUGUAAAUAAAAAAAGAGUAAUGAUAUAGCCACAAACUCUUGCACAAACUUAUUUUGUACAAACUCAUGUGUCAUGAUAAGAUUAAUUAAAUUAAAUAUCACUUGACCUACAUGAUUUAUUUUUAUUAUUUUAUAUUUUCAUUCAACCAAUGAAUUAACGCCACGUCAGUUUGUAUAAGAUAGGUUUGUACAAGAGUUUGUGGCUGUAUCGUCGCUUAUAAAAAAAAAUAUAAAUAAAAAUAUCAUAAAUAGACAACUUUUAUCUUUAAUCUUAUUCCAACUAAACACAUGUGUAAAUUAGAAUUAUUAAUCCCAUGAUUUUAAGAUUAAAUUCAAAUUUAUUCCCCCUUAAUCCAAUCCAACUAAACUUGUCAAACAUGGGAUAAAAAUUUAAUUCUAAAAUUAGUACAAUUCCAUAUUUAAUCCUAACAUCCAAAUAUAGCCCAAGUUGUUUGCUUAAAGAAGCUACCAAAUUUGAAGAGCGUUUACGGGAAGGCCUUGCGUUUCCCAGAUGUAUGCAGAAUUUUUGUAUCUAAAUGCCCAGAACUUAAGAAGCUGACGCUGGAUUUGAAAGGGCGGGCCAAGGUAAAAUUCUUAUCAAGUGAAAGGAAAAUCGGUGGGAACAACUUCAAUGGGAGGAUCAAGCAACUCAGGAUGCAUUGCUUCUGUUUUUCAAAUCAACUGACAAGUGAUUGAAGGGGCCAUCAUCAGCCUGGAUGGGGAGAUCCUGGAGCAGAUCAGCAGGGUUUGAAUCUGCAUCAUCAACAUCAUCAGGAUCUCUAUUUCUAUUGCUGGUCGUAAUGCCUGCCUACUGUUGCUUGAAAAAGUGAUUAAGUGAGCCAGUUUUUUGUUUAUUAAAUUUUGUCUUGUGGAGACAGUCACAAAGUAUUUUUCAAUUAUGAUAUUCUGUGGGAAAUUGCAAGUAUUUUCAAAUAUGAUCGUUACUAAAGGAAACAAAGGAAUCAACACAGCAUACUGAACCUCAGCAGUAUGAAGCUAAUGAUUAAACUCCUCACACAAUUCAUGACAUGCAAAACCAUUCACAAAAUCAUCCACAGCAACCAUAAUUGGCGUUUACAAGAAUUACUUUUCUGUUCAUGCAAUCGGCGUCUGAACGCGGCUGAUCGGUCACCAGUGUUGGCGUUUACUGUGAUUAGACAAAUUGUAGGACUUCAAAAAUAACUUCUAUAGAGGUAAUUUCGAUUUCACAUAAUUAAUUUUAGGGAAAUUUACACUCGUCCACCUGUUUGUUUUGCCUUUUUCAAAAAUACACAAACACUUUUUUUUUUUUGCAGCGCGUCACCUGAAGUUUAUUUUUUGUUGCAUUCAUUCACUUCCGUCUAAUUUCCGUUAGUGGAUUUAACGGAAUGUUAACGAAAUGACCUUUUUACCCCUCAAAAUUAUAAUUUAACCCAAAAUAAAUGGAAAUUAGAGAUAAAUUAGGUGGAUUUAAUUUUUUUUAAAGGUGGAUACUAGAAAUUGGAGGAAAAUAGUGUUUGUUGCUUGCUAAAUUUAGAAAAUUUGUAUUUAUUUUUUUGAAAGACAAAAAAAUAAAUACACAAAAAAAAUAAAUACACAAAAAAUAAAUACAAAUUUUCUAAAUUUAGCAAGCAAUAAACACUAUUUUUCUCUAAAAAAAUAAAUAUAAAUUUUUUAAAUUUAGCGGGCAACAAAUAUUAUUUUCCUCCAAUUUCUAGCAUCCACCUUUGAAAAAAAUUAAAUCCAUCCAAUUUAUUUCUAAUUUCUAUUUAUUUUGGGUUAAAUUGUAAUUUUGAAGGGUAAAAAGGUCAUUCCGUUAAAUUCACUAAUGAAAAUUAAACGGAAGUGGACGAAUGCAACAAAAAGUAAACUUCAGGUGGCGCACUGAAAAAAAAAAGUGUUUGUGUAUUUUUAAAAAAGACAAAACAAACGGUGGACGGUUAUAAAUUUCCCUUAAUUUUAUUUACAAUAUUUUAUGCCUGCUAGGUCAAUUGAGAUUCUUUCCACCGGGCACACUCUUCAUGUUCUUUUAUUUUCUGUCUUUUAUUAGACGUUGGAUUUUACUACUCUUUUAUCCAACGGCUUGCCACAACAAGACAAAUGAGGUGGUACAUUCAUUUUAUGUCCUUUCAUGUUUUUGAAUUACUGAAGACAAGUGGCUCGUCGCUUUUACUGUAGGUAAGAUCCAAAUUAUCUCGAUUAUCAAAAUAAUUAUUUUAAAAUACCUUAAUUGUUUUUAUUUUUAUGUUGCCGGAAUCAGAAUGAGCUGAAAUCAGAAUGAGUAAGAAUAAAAAUUGACUGAAAUGUAAAUAAUGAAUGAGAAUUAAAAUAAAUUGUUUACUUAAACUAUAAGAAUCCAAAUCAAAAUGAUUGCCAUUAAUGUGUUUCCUUUGUCUUGAAAUCGGAAUCAUAAUGAAUUAAAUUGUAACAAAUUAUUAAAAAGUACUUAAUAAAUUAUUAUCAUAAUUAUUAUUAAUUAAUUGUAAAAUUUUUUAAUUAAUUAUAAUAAUUAUAAUGAUAUUCGGCCACCACGAGACCAUAACGAAGCCAGAAACACAUGCUUCUUCUGCCGUUUCGAAGUUUUAAAUUUAAAAAUUAAAAACACAAUUUUCCAUUGAAAAAUAUCAAAAUUAAAUCUAAAGAAUUUGAAAAAUCCAAAAUCCUUACCCGUCCCUCUCACUGUCCCUCUUAUUCGCUUAUUCUCUCUCUCUCUCUCUCACUCACCCGAUCUAGGGAUGGGCACGGUUCGGUUCGGUUCGAAAUUAAGUAGAACCGAUUUAAAUCGGUUAUUUUAUAAAAAGAACCGAACUCAAUAAGAACCGAACUCAAACGGUUCUUUUCGGAUCGGUUCGAUUUGGUUCGGUUUUUUCGGUUUUGGGCCUAUUUUGAAUUUUUAAAAUUUUAGUCCAUUGGGCCUCAUGAAUGUAAUAAUUUUUUUCAAUAAUUAAUUUAUCCUAAUUUUAUUACAAAUAUUAACAAUAAAUACAAAGUAUUCAAAACACAGUUUAUCACUAAUAUCUUACUAACUAUUAAUAAGAUACUCCCAAAUAUAUGAAAUAUUAAAAUUUCAAAAUACAUAACCAAACUCCAAUACUCCAUCUAUAUAAACAUAAUCAUAAUGUUAUAAAGAGAAAUAACACAUGUUUGAUUUGAAUAAAAUCAAAAAAUAAUUUGGUUUUUCGGUUCGGUUUUUCGGUUCAGCUAAGUGAAUCGAAUACCGAACCGACAUUUCGGUUUUUUUUACAAACGGUAUAUUCGGUUUUUUUUAAAAAUAAAAAUCGAACCGAAUUAGAAAAAACCGUCGGUUCGGUUCGGUUUUUUUAAGACUACGGUUUUUUUGCCCACCCCUAACCCGAUCUGCCUCUUUUACUCACCCACUAGCAGGCUGUCACUCACCCACAAAACUUGUCACGCCACGGCCAUUGUUGACCAGCCAUCAUCGCUGUCACGCCACGCCCAUUGCCGACCAGCCCAUCACUGAUCACAUCGCCGUUGACGGUGUGCUUGACGAUUUUGGACCUUUUUCACCUACGUAGGUAAUUAAAUUUAGCAUGUUGAGGAAAGUUUUGAUUUAUUGUAUUUAUAUUUUAAAAUUAUUAGAAAUAAGUUAUUGGAAAUGUAGAUUUUGUUUGAAUUAUAUAUGAUUAAUACAAUUUAUUUUUCAUGGUAUAAAAAUGAAGGAUUUGGAAAAAAAACUACAAAGUCGAAGAUUUUGAAGAAUUAGAUUAACAACAAUUUAAAUGGAAAUAAUGAAAAAACUGAUAAUGAUGUGGAUGUGAAACCAAAAAAGUAUGAGCCAAAGUUUGGGAUGUUGUUUGAUAAACACCAUUAUCUUCUUAUGAGCCAAAAAAGGAAGAAUUAGAUGACAACAAUUAAGGUAAGAUUAAACUACUUACUUAAUUAUUCUACAAUUAAUUUAAUUUUAAUUUUAAUGUAUCUUUUUAUGGAUUUGCAGGAUUCAAAUGUACAAACACCAUUAUCUUCUGAGGUGGAUAUUGUAGUCCCAACGCAUGAGAGCAAUAAGGAUCCUGUAAGUUUUAUGUUCUUUGAUGUAAUACUAUUUAAUUAUUUUAAUUUUUAAUGGUCACUAAAUAAUGGUCAUUAUUUAAGAACCUGUGAUCGCAUACCAAUUACAAGGAUGUGAUAUUUAUCCAUGGUUUCCUUUUGAUUCUUACAUUGUAAGUUAUAAUCCAAUUUCUAUAUUUAUGCCUAGUUAAUUUUGCAUUUUCUGGAAUGUAAUAUGGUUCUUAUUUUGUACAAACUAGCAAUCCCCAUCACUCCCAUCUAUGUUGCCUUAUUCUUCAUCUUGGAUAUCGUAUAAAGGUUCUCAACAAAGGAGUUUUCAGUAAUCGCUACUUCAACAGAAUGAUAAUAACAAAGAAGUUUGAAGCAGACUUAACAGAUUGAUCAUUGACUUAUUCUUUUGUUGUGUUUUGUGUAUUAGUUGGUUGGAUGAUAUUACUCUAGUGCUCAAUGAUUGAACGUGGAAAUAUUUUGAAGGGUUUUUAUCCAUAUAUUCAAAGGGUUAAGUGUGUCAAUAACCAUUACAACAAUAAGAGUAGUUCAUAUAGAAAUGUCAAAUUAACCACACACAAAAGAAAAAGGUACAAAUAACUUAUUUCUAGUAAUUUUAAAAUAUAAAUACAAAAAAAAACCAAAUACUUUUCUAAUCAAAGUAUCACAUACAAGGUUUCGUAAAGGCCGUGUCAAAAGAAUUUCUUUAACUGAUUAAAUAUACUAAUUUUAGGUGACAAUAAUCUAAUAAUUUUAAACUAAAUUAACUUAAUUUCGCGAAAAAAAAUUCAAAAAACGCAUAGAAUUACGGAUCAAGUCUAAUUAACAAUCAAACGUAGUAACUCAGAUGCAUUUAUGCCAAAAAGAAUGUUCAUAAGACUACACAAAACCACCCAAAAAAAAUUAUAAAAUAAUAAAAGCAGCAGCUGCAAUAGAUUUUGCCUGAACAAGAAACACAACAAAACAAAGAGAAUAAAUCAAUCAAGGGCAUAAAUAGAUUGAACAAAAAAGGGCAAGAUCAGAGAAGAAACUGACCCACGACACUGGAUCCUCCUAAGCCUAGCGUCAUGGUUGCGGUUUUGAUGAUGCGUUAGCUGAGGUCUGACCAAAAUAUUGACAGUGACCUUGUGGGUGAGUGAGAGGUGAACGAGCUUCGUGGGUGAGAGUGAGAGCCGAGAGGGACAGAGCGGGUGAGAGAGAGAGAGGGUGAGUGAGGGGAGCGAUAAGAAUUUAGAUUUUUUUAGUUUGUUUUGAUUAGCUUUUAUUAUUUUUUAAUGGUAAAAUUUGUUUUUAAUUCUCAAAUCUAAAAUUUCAAAACGGCACAUACGCGUGUCGUUUCUGGCUUCCCUCUGUAACGAGGGCGGCCGAAUAUCAUUUUUUAAAUCAUUAUUUUAAAAUGGGUCUACAUUGCAACAGUAGUACGAUCCCAUUAUUAUUUUCAGUCAUUAAAUUUUAUUAAUAUAAUUAUAUAAUUAUAAAUUUAAUAAUUAAAAACAACAAUAAUAAUAUACUGUUGCAAUAUAAUUUUGACCUUUAAAAUGCCUUAAUUGUUUUUACUUUUAAUGUUACCGGCCUUUCUUAUAUUUUAUUAUAAAUUAAUACUAACAAGAAAAAGCUAGAUCAUUUUCCACAAAAAUAAAAGUGACAAAACAAUCAGCUAGAUUCUUUUAUUAAACUAUAAAUUAAAACGGAUUUUUUUUUAAUAAACUACAUAUGAAAGUGGAAUCUUUUGAAUAUAAGUGAGUAGGCUCUCUUUUUUUAAAAAAAAAAAACGGGGUAGGUUCUUUUAAUAAAGACAAGUCAUAAGUAUUAAGUAGUCACGACCAUUAGACUCUUUUAUUAGGACCUGUCUAUGGUACAGAUUCUGUAACAAACAUCUCCCGUCAUACCACCAUCCGAUCUUCUAUUGUUUAGUUUCUCACUUCACAUCCAACGGCUGAUGCUGCAGUCUGUAGCUUACAGAUUCUGUAAGCUAGUCAAGUCCCUUUUAUUAAAUUACAAAUUGUAGGAGGUUGCUACGUUACAGAAUCUGUAACAUACACAUUCAAUGGGAAGCAGCACACGUGUCCUGAAGAGAGAGAAAAAUCGGGCAAAUGCAGGCAAUGGCGGGUAAUGGGAGUUGGCUAAAAGUUGGAUAUGCAAAUUUACAAAAGAGUACUGCUAUUUACUCCGAAUGCUAACUCUGAAUUUACGCCCCGAGAGAUAAAACGACGUCGUUUUUUUUUUUUGCUUUGUAAUUUCAGCCAAAAAAGGUGGGCAGCACGUGGGUGAGCAUAUGCUUCAAUUAAUUUGGAACCAAAACGACGUCGUCUGUUCCUGCUUAAUCCUUCGUUUUGCUUUUCUUUCCAACCACAACGCUCGGCACCCAAAACUUCCACAAACUGCAAACUGCAAAACAUUUCCAUAUGCUAGCUCUUUAUGCAUGUGACCAAACACAACUUUCAUGUGUCUGUCUGCUUGUGUAUAUAGGAUGGAAACUUAUAUGGGUUUCUCCAAUCACCUGAAUGAUUGUAUUCUCAAAUGUUGCUUGUGGAUUCAUGGGAUUUGCUGUUCCAAAUGAUUAUGUUGAAGUCUUGACACUGAUUUGGGAAGGCUGUUGGUUUUAAUUUUGUUAACUAUUAGAGAUGUAGUACUUCUUGCAUGUCUAUUUCUUUUUCUUUUUUUGUCUUCCCUCUAAUUUAAUCAAUUUUAAAUGCACUAGAUGCCACAUGCUUUGUCUGCAUAUUUGUCUCUGGGCAUAGUCUGAAGAUGCUUUUGCCAACACAGAGCUGAUUUAGGGAAUGCCCAUGGAGCACUUGUAAGUGCCUGCUUUUCCAUAAAUCACAAAAUUUUAACAUGUCAAAACUUAAUGAUUCGUGAAAGUUGAAUGCUGAAUUUGAACGCCAACUUGUACAUGGGCUUUGGCAUACAGCAGCCAACAACGGUUCCUCAACGUAAGCACUUGUUUGAAACGCGUUUUUAUUUGCAGGCGCAAGAACUAUUGCUGCUGUUUGCAAAACAAAAAGUGAUUGCAAAACAAAAAGUAAAACGAAAGGAAAAGGUGUUUCGAUUGUAGUUCGUCAAAAUGAGUCCAAAAGAAAAGAAAAAAUGCGUCGAAACGGUGCGUUUCCUUUUAAUUUCAAAACGGCACGUUUCAUUCGGGGUGUUAGUCGAGGCGCAAGUCGGGACAAGCAGCUUCUUCCUUUAUAAAAUCUGUAACUUAAGUCAGCUCCCAAAUUGUAUAGUCUUUUUUCAAAUUGUACAGACAUUUAUAAAUUGGUGGCCCCUUGGAAAUUUAAUGCCAAGCAGACAAAAGUCAUCAUGCACAAUCCUCAAUAAUUAUUUCGCGUAUAUUUAUAAAUUGGUGGCCCCUACGUCCUCAAUAAUUGUUCAGAUACUUAUAAAUUGGCGGCCCUUGAUAAUUUAACAGCAGCUUGCAAGUGCCAACUAGUGAAAAGUCAUCAUUCACAAUCUUCCAAAUGAACCAAGGGACAUACAAAGAUUAAGACAUGUCAUUCUUUUUUCAUUCCCUUUCAUGUAACUUACAUCUAAAUACAUAAAUAAUAUAAAAUGAAUGGAGAGAUGCCGGAGCAUAUCAGCAGGGUUUGAAUAUGACCUUUGGCGCUUGUCUUUUUUUGUGAUUUUUUUUUUCAUUUUUUCCUUCCUGUCAUUUUAUCAUUUCUUUGGCUUUGUCUCUAUUGCGGGCGUUACUGCAUGCUUACUGUUGCUUGACAAAGUUUGCUAGCUUUUCCUUUUGUUUAUUAAAUUUUUUUAUCGUCGCAAAGUAUUACUCGUUCUAUUUGACAGUGAUGUGAAUCAAUUUUUCAAUUUUAUAUUUUAUCGUCAAUGUGAAUUCAAUUUCAUUUGUCAUCAUGCAUAAUCCUCAAUAAUUGUUUCGAUAUUUAUAAAUUGGUGGCCCCUGCGUCCUCAAUAAUUGUUCCGAUACUUAUAAAUUGGUGGCCCCUUAAUAAUUUAACAGCAGCCUGCAAGUGCCGACUAGUGAAAAGUCAUCAUUCACAAUUUUCCAAAUGAACCAGGGGAUAUACAAAUAUUAAGACAUGUCAUUCUUUCUUUUUUUUUGAGUGAAACAGAAAUUUACAAGAAUUACUUUUCUGUUCAAGAAAUCGGCGUCUAAACGCGGCUGAUCGGCCACCGGUGUUGGCGUUUACUGUGAUUAGACAAAUUGUAGGAAUUCAAAAAUAACUUCUAUAGGGGUAAUUUCGAUUUCACAUAAUUAAUUUUAUUUACAAUAUUUUAUUCCUGCUAGGUCAAUUGAGAUUCUUUCCACCGAAAACACCCCUCAUGUUCUUUUAUUUCCUGUCUUUUAUUAGCCGUUGGAUUUUACUACUCUUAUAUCCAACGGCUUGCCACAACAAGACAAAUGAGGUGGUACCUUCCAACCGGUGAAAGGUAGUUUUGGCCCCAAGUGGAACAAGGGAUGCACUUACUAUUAAGGACAGUUGGCGGCCAGCCAAUGCAUUCAUUUUAUGUCCGUUCAUCUUUUCAAUUGUUAAAGACAAGUGGCUCAUCGCUUUUACUACAGGUAAAAUUCAGAUAAUCUCUAUUAUGAAAUAAUAAUAUUCAAAAUAUCUCAUAAAUUAUUAUAAACCUCAAAUUUAUCUUAAUUUUAUUUAAAAAAUAAAAGAAAAAUAGGUUAUGUUGGUGAAUUUUUUUUAAUCUUUUUAAUAAAAAUAAAAUAAAUUGAUGUUUUAUAAUAGUUUAAAGUACUUUAAAGAUUGUAAUUUUAUGAGAGAGUAAUAUUUCACUUUUUUAGUGUAAAAAGUUGAAAAAGGACAAAGCAAGUUUCUCUGAUUUUUAUUUUAUUUGAAAUUAGUCAUCUCAUAUACUUCACCCUUCAACACUACAAUUUUUUUGGUUAUUUUUUUAUUUUUUUAUUUUUUACAUAUGCACGUGAAUUUCUUUUCUUUAAGCUCCUGAAUAUUUAAGACAAAUCAUAGAAGAGAUGAAAGUAUAAUAAGAUGAUCAAAAUACGUAACAAAAAUUUUUAGAAGUGAAACAUACGUUAGAGUUGAAGCAAAACUCCAAAAAUAGAGAUACUGAUUAAUUUAGAAGAGAUGCGAGCAAAAGAUAUUCCCAAACAAAAAAGGGCAACUUGUCCCUUUGGAGGGCAAACUUGUCAGUUUGAAAAAAGUACAUGCUUUGGAUUGAUAGUUGCUGGAUAUUUGUUUUGUCACUGUGUAUUAGUUGAAGAAGUCAAGCCUAGUCAAGAAUGUUGUGAAAGAGCAAAGGAUAUUCCCGAUAGAGCUCUAUUUCAUUAUGUAUCCAGUGAAUAGAUGUGUUGUUGGAAGAUAAGUGAGUGCAUUAGUUCAUUUGUGUCUAUCAAUUUGCUUUUAAUGAUUUUUCCACUUGUUUUGUUGUAAAAGAUUAUUGUAAAAUUAAAUGAAUUUGAUGUUGUAAUAUUUUGUCUUUAGUGGAAUUUCACUUGGUAUGUGUUCAAUUGUGUUGUCUAUAAUUUUGCAUUCAAAUAAGUUUCCACCUAAAAUAUUAGCACGAGUAGUAGCCCUUGAAACUUUAGUCAAAAUUAUUGUUAUAAUUUCUUAUUAGGGGUAAACUUUUUAUUAAACCUCGUUAACAUAAUUCUUAAUUAAUUGUGUGUUUACAUGGAAUAGGGAAUGAGAAUGGAGGAAUGAGAAUGAAACUCAUGUUUACUUGGUAAAAUGUAAUUUGGGAAUGAGAAUAAAAUGUGUGGGUUUUACAUAAUUUGGGAAUAAGGAAUGAGAAUCUCAUUCCCAUGAAGGAUUGAGAAUGAAAUAUAUGUUUACUUUUGUAUCCCUAUACUUUUUUUAUAUUUCCCAAAUUACCCUCAUUCAAAUCACAAUUAAUUUAUUAUUUUAAAUGUCAUUAAUAAUAAUAAUAAUAAUAAUAAUAAUAAUAAUAAUAAUAAUAAUAGUAAUUUUUAAAUUUUAUUAACUUUAUUAUCUUUGUGAUGUUGAACCAUAUACAUAUAUAUAGAGAAAAGUAAAAGCUAUACCUAAGGUUGAGGGAAAAGACUUCAAAACUCUCUUUUGAUUAUAAAACCUUUUGUCUUAAUUAACUUAAAGAUUUUGAAUCUAAUAUUUUAUAAUAAAUAAAAAUAUAUUCCUAAAAUAAAUAUAAUAAUAUCUAUUUUAAAAUAAUAUCAAUAUUUAAAAUAUGUUUUAAUAUUUUAUGCUCUAUCAGACAUAUUUUAUUAUAUUAAAGUAAAUUUAAUAAUAAAUACAAACAUAAUGAAUUUAUAAAACAUUUAAAGUAUUUUGAAUAUUAUAUAAAAUAAUUUUAAUAUAAUGCAUGAGAUAUAUUUUAUUAAUUUAAAAUGCUAUUUAACCUAAGAUUUAUUUAAGAUAAAUUAAUAAUUAAAUUUUUUAAAAUUAUUUCAAAUAUUAAAAAUUUGUAAUAUUAUUAGUCUAUUAGAUAGAUUAAAUUAUUUAUAUUAUUUUGUAUCUAUUAAAAAAUUUUAAAGUCAAUCUUUUUAAUUACUAUUGGAAGGAUAUAAUGAUUAAAAAAAUCUUAGUAUUUUUUUAUUAAAAAUUUAAAAAUUUACAUGACAAUUUCUAUAAAUAUUUAGGUCUCGUUUGGUAUGUCGGAUUGGAUUGAAUUGGAUCUGAUCGGAUUAGAUAAGAUAGGAUUUGAUUGGAUAAUACUGGAUUAUAUAUAAUAUUAUGUUGUGUUUGUUAUGCCAUGAGAUUAGCUAGUAACUAAUAAUAUGUCUUAUAUAUUAAUUUAUUAAAAUCAUCGUAGAUUUUGAAAUACUAACUAGGCAAUCCAAGAGGGGGGGUGAAUUGAGAUUUUAAAAAUUAAGCUAAGCAAACCACACACAAAUUCAAUCUAAUGCCUUAAUAAAUUCGAAAACAAUAAAUUCAAUGAAAGCACAAUAAUAAAUGAGCAAUGGAAGAGAAAGCAAACUCAAGGAUUUUUACAUGGUUCGGUAAUCCCCGCCUACGUCCACGCCUCCAAGCUCACCGGACUUGAGGAUUUCACUAAGCUAGCCUCCCAAGGCUUCAAACGCUUACAAUUGACUUCCAAGGUGUCAAUGAACCUUUACAACAAGAGAUUAUCCCCAAUCUCUUAACCCAAGUGUAUCCCAACACUUACAAUCACUCAAAGUAAAAGAUUACAAAUUGUUUUGCCUCUCACAAUAUAUAAGAUUACACAAUGAUGCUUAUAUAUAUGAAUAGAUGAAGCAAGAAUGUGUUCUAAUUAAGCUCUAUGAAGAUUGUAUUCUCGAAUAUUAGCUCAAUGGUCGUGUUGUGAUCAACCUUCUUUGAUUUUGAAUGAGCUUAUUUAUAUCUGGAGCUGAAAAACUAGCCGUUACAAACUGUCGGUCCGAAAACGGUUCGCCGUUAAUCAUUAACGGUUAACCGUUUAGGCUGGUCAAAAGUUACCGUUGGGCCAAAUUUCAAAUAAACGGUUUGCCGUUUAGGCUUACCCUUUCGUCGUUAAAUUUCAGAGACCUACAAAACAAAUUUAAUUUAACCGUUCUUACUAAACGGUUCAAGGUUAGCAAUCUGGAAAUAACCGGUUAACCGUUUUCAGUAAACGGUUCACCGUUAUUUUCCAAAAUCAUCAUUUUAACAAUACUUUGCAGAACAUGCUUUCUGUAAAUUAUCGGUUAGCCGUUUUAAAUAAACGGUUAGCCGUUUUAUACAGUGAUUGCUACAGUAAAAUUAUUUUUUAAAUUUAUAGUUUGACCUCAAAAUUUUAUAAAACUGUAUUACGGCCCAAAACGUUAUGAAACUUUGCACAUAUGUCCAAUUUCAGAAUUUUUAAAUAAUUCUUUGUCAAUCCCAAAACUUUUUGAAAUUAUGAUUUCACCCAAACUAUGUGAAAUUAUAGAAUGACCCAAAAUAUUUAAAUAGUUUCAAAUAUGUCCAAAUCUGAAAUUUUAAAACAAUAUCAAAGGUUUUAAAAUACUUUCAUUUUAGUUCAAAAUACUUUAAUUCCUUAACAUAAUUUUCUUAUUAUAUAUGAAACCUUUAUACUGUGAAAAGAAUGAUUUAUUUAAAAUAUAAAAAAAUAAUUUGAGCUUAAAAGAUUUAUCAUUCUUAAUCUUGUUUGUUGUCAUCAAAAUCAACAUUAUGAAAACAUAUAUGUUAACAGAUUUACUUUAAAAUGACAUAUAAUAUAAUAUAACUUAAAUCAAUAAUUAUUGGUAAAUUUAUUAAAAAAAUACAAAAUCUUUGCUUAAUUUUUUUUUAAUAUUUAACAUGUUAUAGUUUCUAAUCCCAUGAAUAGUAAAAGAUAAAGUUUUAUCUUAGAAAAUGUAAUCUCAAGGGUCCCAUUGGGAUGAAAUUUUGCCUCUAUUGAAAUUAAGUGGUGGGCCUAUUAUUGUUACCUUUAUUUUUUUUACACCAAACAUAAUAUAAGGAUUAUUUUACACUAAAAUUAUCGAAUCCCAUAAUAUAUAACUAAAACCAAACAGGCACUUAGGGUAUAUAUGAGCCACGGUGGAGAAGCUUUAUUUAAUAUUAUUGAUUUAAAUAAUAUCUCAUUAAAAAUGUACUGAGAAGAAAUUUCGGUGGGUAUUUUAGUCUUUUCAGCAAUCACAUGAUCAGCCUUUGGCCUUGAAACUUCGGUCGGAAUGAUUUAUUCUAACAAGAAAAAACUAGGUAACAUUCCACAAAAGCAAAAGUGACAAAACAACCAGCUGGAUUCUUUUAGUAAACUACAAAUUAAAAUAGAUUUUUUCGAUAAACUACAAAUUAAAGUGGAUUCUUUUGAAUGCAAGUGGGACAGACGAUUAGGCUAAAAAUUAGUCAAGAAUCUAAUAGUCUUUUUCAAAUUCUUGUUUUAUUAUUUUUCAAAACCAGUUUUUGGUAAUUACAAUCGGGUCAUUAAUCAUUAUUCAGAGUUAUUGUUUCCUUCAAAAGUUAGUGGCUCAUGUUUGCAAGUGUGAAUGUGCGAUGCUUUUUUUCCAAAGCGCAAUGACAGUGGGUCCCGAAUCGGACGUGCCUGAAUCUUUUCAAAAUUUUAGGGAAUUAUCAUUUGUAUACCUUUAAUUUAUUUCAUUAUCAAAAAUACUACAAUACUUUAAGGGUGUAUCAAUCGUCCACCCUAAGUUGACAAAAUAUAUCAGCUGACCACUAAAUCGUUAGUUGUCGUUUAAGUAUGAUGACGUCAGAAGGAUAAUUUAGUCUUUUUAUAUAAUACAAGUGAUAAUUUAAGAGUAUAUAAGUGAUAAUUUUUAAGGGUAAAAUUAUCAAUUCACUGUAACUCUGUUAACUUUCAAACGGCAACUAACGGUUUGGUGGUCGGCUGAUACAUUUUGUCAAUUAAGGGUGGACGAUUGAUACACCCUUAAAAUAUUAUAGUAUUUUUAAUAACAGAACAAAUAUAAGGUAUAUGAAUGAUAAUUUUCCUAAAAUUUUUGCCGUAUAAGGAACAGAGGUCAUUACUAAAAUUUCUCUUCCACAGCCUACAGCAGCUUCAGUUUAUCAAACUCAAUCAAUUUUCUUUCUUAACAAAAUUCCAAAGAUGUGUAGCAUUUUUCAGAUCACAUGCGACGGUGCUCUUUUCAAUCGUUGCUUGGAUUGCUUUCUUGGAAAAGCAGCAUACAUACGUAACCUCCAAGAUAAUCUUGUAGCCUUGGAGACUGAAUUGGGAAAUCUAAUCGCAAUAAAGAACGAUCUGAUGAGGAGGGUUGACGAUGAUGAACGACAACAAAUGAGAAGGCUGGACGGAUUGCAAGUGUGGGUUUCGAGGGUGGAUGCUGUUAAAACUGGAGCCGAUGAACUUAUCACAGACGGCUCUGAAGAAAUUGGCAAAUUAUGUGUUGGAGGCUACUGUUCCAAGAACUGCAGGUCAAGCUACAAGUUCGGAAAACAAGUGGCUAAAAAGCUACAAGAUGUGAAGACUUUAAUCGCCGAGGGAGUUUUUGAGGCGGUGGCUACUGAGGUGGUGGCUGAGAGAGCUCCGGAACCUGUAGCAGAUAAAAGACCCAUUGAGCCAACAAUAGUAGGCUUGCAAUCACAGCUUGAACAAGUUUGGAGAUGUCUUGUAGAAGAAUCAGUGGGAAUCAUUGGCCUAUAUGGUAU
rnacentral:lncRNA from 1 species